UCCAGCACAGGCGGCACAUUUUUUGCUGCAACACCAGAAAAUGAAGCCCGCGUGUCAGCAGACGGGAGUGGGUCGUGAAGCUCCUGCGGAAGACAGGAUGUUGCCAGAAAAAUGUCUGGGUUGUCCACAGGAGUAGCAGGCCUGUGAGCCAGACACUACAACACAAUUAAUAAAUGGCCAUGGAACAAUUACUCCUUUGUCGACCAGUAAUAAAAUGGCAGGUGGAAAUUCAAUGUCGGGGAAUUGAAUCACAGAACCAUUAAGGUUGGAAAAGACCUUCAAGAUCAUUGAGUCUGACCUUUGACAGAAGUUGAUGUUGUCAACUAAACCACAGAACUAAGCACCAUGUUCAGUUGUUUCUCAAACAGCUCCAGGGUUGGUGACUUCACCACCUCCCUGAAUUAUGAUUUUAAAAAUUUAAGACUUUAGCUGAGAGUUAGAACCAAUUCAUAUUGAAGUUAGAUAUACCAAUGAUAAGUUAAUGAUUAUUAGAUGCUUAAGCUAAUUGUUAUAUUAUGAGCUUAUUUAUAGAAGGAAGUGCAGCAAGUGAACCAUUAUAGGAAUAUAUGGAAACCAGUAAAACAAUGCCCAGCACCUGGACUCUAUGUCAAUCCAUCACAAAGCAAAGGGCCUUGGAUUGUGCCAGAGGGUCACAGAGACCUGACGAAGACCUUCUUGACUUCAUCGCUGGGAUCCCUGACCCAACUGGAGACCAACCCAACUCAUGAGAAGAACUGUGCAUGCAUGAAGGACCAAUAACCUCAUUUUAAUACAAAGCAGGAAUGGGAGGUGCUGCAGUUAUGCAUAUGUAUUAUUUUGGGAAAUAAAUAGAAGGCAAAAAUCCUUGUGUGGGACGGUCACGCAUUUUGGGAAUGACCCCCCUGCCCCGUGCCACCCUCUGGCAUAAUAAACAUACCAGUUUCUAACUUUAACUAGUUAGAGAGUUGUCCUGGUUUAGGGUAAAUUUGGGAGAAAACCUCCAAAGGGGGCCCCUCCAGAAGGCAAACCCACACGGCUCGUCCCCACAACCGGUUUGAGAAAGAUUCCUCAGAGAGAAGUGGAAAGAACCUGUUUAUUUAACAGGCAAAGCAUCCCCAGCACACAGA